CCUGAAGGAAGUCAGGGCAGGAACUC
rnacentral:piRNA from 1 species